CAGUCGCCGCGGUAAUACGAAGGGGGCUAGCGUUGCUCGGAAUGACUGGGCGUAAAGGGCGCGUAGGCGGUUUAUACAGUCAGAUGUGAAAUUCCUGGGCUCAACCUGGGGACUGCAUUUGAUACGUAUGGACUUGAGUGGAGAAGAGGGUUGUGGAAUUUCCAGUGUAGAGGUGAAAUUCGUAGAUAUUGGAAAGAACACCGGUGGCGAAGGCGGCAACCUGGUCUUUAACUGACGCUGAGGCGCGAAAGCGUGGGGAGCAAACAGGAUUAGAUACCCCAGUAGUCCCUGUCUCUUAUAC
rnacentral:rRNA from 1 species